rnacentral:lncRNA from 10 species
GGACCCUCUGCUGCUUCGGACCCUGGCCCCAUGUUGCUGCUCUCCCCGGCUGCUGCUGCGGGGAGGGUGCAGCGAGGAGGCAGAGCUGGGCCCAGGGUGGUGCUGCGCUCCAUGGAGCCAGCGGGAGCCGGGGACAAGCGAGAGCCAUCCCCUAGGAGCCCACCGCCCCCGGAAGCCGCCGCAAUGAGGCCAGGCGGAGCCGCCUAUUAGCGCGGGAGCAGCAAGGUUCUUCUUUGGAAUUGGUGGCUGGCUGCUUGCUUAUGAGUGUAGACAUGUGACCCAAACACUCCUCCAUCACUGCUCUGUGGCCUCAGCUGUGAAGCUUUUCUGGAUAAGGGUCAAGGAUAUCCUCAUGACUAAAUGAAAUCCUAUUACGGAUACAAUUUCUUUAUAAGAGAUCUUAAGAAAAUAUCAAAACUCCCAGAAGCCUUCCUCUUUUACUUUUGCCUUUUUACAUCUGUCUCCUCAUCGCCUGUUCACUCACUGAGACACCCGUAAGUGCCACUACAGAGAGGAGGAGAGAGCUGUGUGUGUGGAGGGUGUCUCCACACUGCCUGUGUGCAGUGUGUGCUGCAGAUGUACAGGAUUCGCUGAUCCCCAGAAGAGGACUGAAGAGAGACCAGAGCUGAGUGAGAAAUCGUAUUGUACUAACAAGCAGUCAUUGGGAAAUCAUUUCAAGACUUUGACAAUAAUUUCCCAGCAGUUGGUUGUCUAGAAAAGGGAAGGAAAAAAGGAGAGAAAGCAAUAGUAUUUUAUACUGAAUACUAAAUAAUUCCAUAUGACAAUGCAAAUCAAUUUUGAAUGCUAGAAACUUAGAAAUUAAAGCCCACUCAGCCAUUAGGUUGUCUGUCUUGAUCAAGAAGGCGUGGAGAGUCUCUGCCUCGGAAGGAAAUGUAGAAAAGGAAUUUGAAGGAGGGAGGCUUAAAAGAAGAGCAUUUUUCAGUUUGUUCCAAAUGAAAGCCACUGCAAGUCAGUUACACAGAGCUAAUGUAUCACUAAAAUGGGAUAAAGUAAACAAAAUGUUAGAUGAUGCCCUGGCAUUUAAUACUGUGGAAAUCAUCUUAUAUAAAGAUUAAAAGAAGGAGGCAUUAAAAUCCCAAAUAGCAUGACUUUAUGAAAUGGAUCACUUAGAAAUGUGGUUUGUGGUUUCAUUUUGUAUGACACAUUGGCAUAUAUACACAAAACAAAUUGCUUUGCGUAUUGUAACAUGCAUUUCCAAGAUCUCCUGCUUUUGGUGAGU